ACAUCGGCUCUUAUCAGAGCCACCGGAUAUAUACAAAAAGAUAUUUU
rfam:Anopheles funestus strain FTMOZ unplaced genomic scaffold supercont1.479, whole genome shotgun sequence.